AGUGGGAUAGCUGGAUCAAAUAGUGGUUCCAGUCCUAGUUUUUUGAGGAAUUUCCAUGCUGCUUUUCAGAGUGGUUACAUCAAUUUGCAGUCCCACCAGCAAU
rnacentral:pre_miRNA from 1 species